rnacentral:rRNA from 1 species
CCUGGCUCAGGACGAACGCUGGCGGCGCGCCUAACACAUGCAAGUCGAACGAGCGAGAGAGAGCUUGCUUUCUCGAGCGAGUGGCGAACGGGUGAGUAACGCGUGAGGAACCUGCCUCAAAGAGGGGGACAACAGUUGGAAACGACUGCUAAUACCGCAUAAGCCCACGGCUCGGCAUCGAGCAGAGGGAAAAGGAGCAAUCCGCUUUGAGAUGGCCUCGCGUCCGAUUAGCUAGUUGGUGAGGUAAUGGCCCACCAAGGCGACGAUCGGUAGCCGGACUGAGAGGUUGAACGGCCACAUUGGGACUGAGACACGGCCCAGACUCCUACGGGAGGCAGCAGUGGGGAAUAUUGCACAAUGGGGGAAACCCUGAUGCAGCGACGCCGCGUGGAGGAAGAAGGUCUUCGGAUUGUAAACUCCUGUUGUUGAGGAAGAUAAUGACGGUACUCAACAAGGAAGUGACGGCUAACUACGUGCCAGCAGCCGCGGUAAAACGUAGGUCACAAGCGUUGUCCGGAAUUACUGGGUGUAAAGGGAGCGCAGGCGGGAAGACAAGUUGGAAGUGAAAUCCAUGGGCUCAACCCAUGAACUGCUUUCAAAACUGUUUUUCUUGAGUAGUGCAGAGGUAGGCGGAAUUCCCGGUGUAGCGGUGGAAUGCGUAGAUAUCGGGAGGAACACCAGUGGCGAAGGCGGCCUACUGGGCACCAACUGACGCUGAGGCUCGAAAGUGUGGGUAGCAAACAGGAUUAGAUACCCUGGUAGUCCACACUGUAAACGAUGAUUACUAGGUGUUGGAGGAUUGACCCCUUCAGUGCCGCAGUUAACACAAUAAGUAAUCCACCUGGGGAGUACGACCGCAAGGUUGAAACUCAAAGGAAUUGACGGGGGCCCGCACAAGCAGUGGAGUAUGUGGUUUAAUUCGACGCAACGCGAAGAACCUUACCAAGUCUUGACAUCCUGCGACGGUGCUGGAAACAGUACUUUCCUUCGGGACGCAGAGACAGGUGGUGCAUGGUUGUCGUCAGCUCGUGUCGUGAGAUGUUGGGUUAAGUCCCGCAACGAGCGCAACCCUUAUGGUCAGUUACUACGCAAGAGGACUCUGGCCAGACUGCCGUUGACAAAACGGAGGAAGGUGGGGAUGACGUCAAAUCAUCAUGCCCUUUAUGACUUGGGCUACACACGUACUACAAUGGCGUUAAACAAAGAGAAGCAAGACCGCGAGGUGGAGCAAAACUCAGAAACAACGUCCCAGUUCGGACUGCAGGCUGCAACUCGCCUGCACGAAGUCGGAAUUGCUAGUAAUCGCAGAUCAGCAUGCUGCGGUGAAUACGUUCCCGGGCCUUGCACACACCGCCC